UCAACCAGUUUUUGGCUUAAGGUUAUAUAUUGAAAUAGAUUUGGUUUUACCAUUCUGCUCAGUAAUAAAACUUUUUCUAAGCCUCCGAACGACAUUAUAAGGUUCACUAAAGAAAAGUUCCAAGGACGAAUUAAUAUAAGGAUUCAAAAAAUAUACAUGAAUGUUAUGGUCGGUAUUUAUUUGUUUCGGAUGGUUCUUCUCAUGAUGUAGUAGAGAACCAGACCAUCGAAUAUCCUCUCCAAAAAAACAAGCUUUCAGGGGAAUAAUUUUGGCAAGAUUUAGGCGUGAUUCUUAAAUCCAACAAUAUAUUUGGCAGAACAUCAACCCAACCCCUACCUGUCUUGCAACGCAUAGCCUCCUUCAAGUUUCGAUGCUCACGUUCUAUUAGAUAAUUGGCUGUGGGAUGAUAUUGGGAGAAUCAAAUGGAUUUUUAAACUGGUUAAUGAUGUUUUCAGUGCUCUUAUUUGGUAAAGGAUAAACUUCCGACCACUUUGUUGUCCUGUCUAUCACUUUCAGAGCCUUUGUUUCCCUCGGCUUUUUUGAAAUGUCCCAAUUAAAUCAAGUGAUGCUUUGGCUCGAACUUGCAUUAUAAGAAUUUUAUCGGCUUCUGUUGUGCGGUCCUCAGCUAGAACAAGGUCCUCUGCUCUGCAUAUCCAUUCUACAUAUCUAACAUUAAUAUAGAGUUAAAUAUCGUAAUAAUUAGAAUCAUAAAAAAGAUUUUUGAUAAAUAGCACUAUCCAACAAAAUCACACUAUUUUUAUGCACAAGAAUAGCAUAUGCUUACCUUAAUACAGUUUGAUCCCCUGAUUCAAAAUAUGGUCUUAUUUUUUCUCUCAUAGUCUCGUGGCCUUCAGAAAUGGCCAUACAUUUUUGUUAUUUUUAAGGUUCAAAGGUGUUAUACGCCCUCGUUGUUGAAGAUAAGGAUAAAUUAUAUCAAUAUAUCUUCAAACUUAAUGUUAAAAAAUUCUAAACCCAUUUUUAAAAUGUCUGCAUCACACUUAUUACUCAAAUUAUCUUUGUUUAAAGUGGAAAGUA
rnacentral:lncRNA from 1 species